ACCCCCACCGUCUUUCCCUUCCCCAAACCCUAAUAACACCUACCAGCUUCAGACAAAAAGAAACAAAGAAAGAUAGAAAGGGAAGAGGGGGGAAACAGAAUCGAGGAAGGGGGAAAAGAGAGGGAGCGUCGAGGGAGUGAGGGAGAAGAAAGAGAGCUGCCGCCCCCCACCAAUCCGCCGAAUCCACCACGCCUCGCCGCCAGUUGCGCCUCACCGCCGCCCAGCUUGCCAUCGCGCCAGCCACCCAUGCCGGAGGAGAGAGAGAUUGACAGAGAGAGAGAGACGCGAAGGGGGAGAAGGAUUCGCGCCGCUGCGGCCAUCCAUGCCGUCGUCGCCGAGGGAAGCCAGCGCCACCACCGCGUCACCGUCGCCGAGCCGCAUCGUCGUUGCCACCGCUGACAAGCCCAGCCACCGCCGUCUCAUGCUCUAUCGCUGCCACUGGAGGUUUGCCACCCAUCUGAUCUGAGAGAGAGGAAACACGAAUAGAAGAGGAUACUAGGAGCCACCGCCGCUGUGGCUGCACCCCCGGAGCUUCACGCUGCCUCUGUCAUUCGAAACCUCGCUGCCGUCACCGGAAAACUCUGUUGCCGCCGUCACUGGGGUUUUUGCUUGCUGCUGUCGCUUGAAGUUAUGGUCGGAGCUACUGCCGGGUCGAUUUGGAGUUACGGCUGCUUCGUUUUGUGAUUUCAGUAAGUAGUUAUGUUUUGAAAAACCAUCACGUUAGUAUUCAGUUAUGUAUUAUUAAAGUUUUCACGACGUUAAUGUUUUUAGGAUUAAGUAUCGGGGCCACAUGUUGUGAG